GGCCUCGCAGCGCCAGCCACACAUCCGAGCUCCUAGGUGAUUUUAAGAACUAGCUCUUGCUGGGCCACACCCAGGCAGAGCUGCCUUUUCAGUGGCCAGGCUGGCCCACCGCCUCCCAGGUGAUCCUGUUGUGCCAGGUCAAUGGUCUGGAGGGUUUUCAGCCGCAAGAGGCACCGUCAGGUUUACCCUUUUGAGGCCCACAUGGCCGCUGGUGUGAGAGGCGGACGUGCACGGUGAGGCAGUGAGGGGCUGCAGGGUGAGGAGCCCAAGCCAUGUGCAGUUCAGGGUCCCUGCAGCACCCGCCCGAGGACACUGGGAGCUGGUGGAGGCCUGGGCAGGAGCAGGAAACUGAAGGAGGAGGAGGGGCCUCACUCAUCACCUGAUGCGAUCUCCACACUUUGCAGAAGGGGAAACCGAGGCUAAGAGCGAGGAACUUGGUCAGCAAGCCCAGGCCCCUCCACCCUGCCCGGGUUCCUGCACUGCAGUGGAUCAAACCGGUUUGAUCCUUAAUAACGCCUCCGACAAAUAUUUGAUGAGGGAGGAGGCUGAGAGAGGGGCUGUGGAACAACUCACCACAGACUGGGGGGCCGAAAACACCAGCAACGGGCUCCCUCUCGGUUCUGGAGCCGAGAAGACAGAAAUCAAGGCAUCGUCAGGGUGGGUUCCUUCUGGGGCCUCAGAGCAGGACUCUGUUCCCUGCCCGUCCCCAGCUCUGGUGGCUGGCAGCGUUCCUCGGCCUGUGGCCCUGCACUCCAAUCUCUGCCUCUGUUGUCACUUGGCCCCCCAUGUGUCUCUGUCUCAGAAGGACACAAGUCAUAUUGAAUUAAGGACCCUCCCUACCCCAGCAUGACCCCAUUUUAACUUAGAACAUUCACAAUGAUCUGAUUUGCAAAGAAGGCUGGAUUCUGAGGUCCUGGGAAGGACAUGAAUUUUGGGGGAUGCUGUUCACCUCAGUACACCAGUGCAGAGUUCGGUGACACCGCCGAGUUGCUUGACGGUGAGCAGCCUGGCAUUAUAGAAAGGCAGAGGUUGACUUUAGUUUGGUCCUUGGGUUUGUCCUUUAUUUGUUCUGUGACACCUUGGACAAGUUUUGUGACCCAAGUGUCAGUUUCCUAGGAACUAGUGACAAUGAUCAGAGAUAGGGGGACUCAAGUGUAAGUAAAGUGCAGGAUGAACUGCAGCAGAGCAUGUGAGGUGCCUGGCAGGUGCCGGCCACCCAGUGGCGCUCGAAGCACCUGCUGCUCCCUCCUUCCUCGCUCCCAGCUGCCUUCUCUACCGGGCGCUCUUUGGAGAGGAGCUGGUUCAUCCUGUCCCUCGAGGAGCUAACAGUUCAGUCAAGGACAUUGAGAAGCAGCAGAUGGUGACAGUGCAGUGUGACAGUGGUGUGCUGUGGGAGCCCCAUGGAGCGGCUACCCAGGCAGGAAGGUCAGGGAGGCUUCCUGGAGGAGGCGGUGCUUCAGAUGAGACUUGAAGGAGCAGAAGGUGUUUGCUAGAUAAAGGGGCUUGCUUGGACAAAUGGUCUUCAGAGCAUGGUCCCAGUAAGGAAGGAGACCACUACUACUCCUGCUGCCCUCUUCCCCCGACCUUGCCUAGUUUACAAGACAGGAGGAAAGAGAGAAAGCAAAAAGUUAGAAAAAAAAAAAAAAAAACAGAAGUAAGAUAAAUAGCCAGAAGACCUUGGUGCCACCACCCAGCCCUGGUAGUUAAAAAAAGUAAUAAUAAUAAUAUCAACCCCUGACUUAAACUACUUGUGUUAUCUGUAAAUUCCAGACAUUGUAGGAAAAAGCAUUGCAAAACUUUCUAUUCUGUUAGCUGAUGCAUGUAGCCCCGAGUCACGUUCCCCAUGCUUGCUCGAUUUAUCAUGACCCUUUCAUGUGGACCCCUUAGAGGUGUAAGCCCUUAAAAGGGCCAAGAAUUUCUUUUUCAGGGAGCUCGGCUCUUAAGAUGCAAGUCUGCUGAUGCUCCUGGCCGAAUAAACCUCUUCCUUCUUUAA